rnacentral:rRNA from 1 species
GACGAACGCUGGCGGCGUGCCUAAUACAUGCAAGUAGAACGCUGAAGGAGGAGCUUGCUUCUCCGGAUGAGUUGCGAACGGGUGAGUAACGCGUAGGUAACCUGCCUGGUAGCGGGGGAUAACUAUUGGAAACGAUAGCUAAUACCGCAUAACAGUAGAUAUCGCAUGAUAUCUGCUUGAAAGGUGCAAUUGCAUCACUACCAGAUGGACCUGCGUUGUAUUAGCUAGUUGGUGAGGUAACGGCUCACCAAGGCGACGAUACAUAGCCGACCUGAGAGGGUGAUCGGCCACACUGGGACUGAGACACGGCCCAGACUCCUACGGGAGGCAGCAGUAGGGAAUCUUCGGCAAUGGACGGAAGUCUGACCGAGCAACGCCGCGUGAGUGAAGAAGGUUUUCGGAUCGUAAAGCUCUGUUGUAAGAGAAGAACGAGUGUGAGAGUGGAAAGUUCACACUGUGACGGUAUCGUACCAGAAAGGGACGGCUAACUACGU